rnacentral:lncRNA from 1 species
UGGUCUGUGCCGCCUCCGCCUUCAUCCGAGAAAGACGGGCGUAGAAGACGCUCCACCAACGCUUGGUUAGGUUAAAGGACUAAUGUGUUGCAUUGUUUGACUCGACUUGCAAAAAGUUACGUGGGAAUCUCUGAAAUUCCAGAUUUUUUUUUUCUUCUUACUAGCUCUUAGGAGGAGUUUUUAAAACACAUGAACUCGGUGACCAGUAGAACUUGUGCAGUGAGUUAGAGAGCUCCCUCUAGAGCGUUGGCUCUCGCAGUCUGGUUCUGCAACUAGCAUGUUGCUGUCCCAGCAUCCCCUGCGAACUUGCAGCCGCAGAAACGACAGGUGCCACCCCAACAAGGGUUUCCAAAACUCUAGGGCUGGGGUCCAGCAAUCUGAGUAUCAGCAAGGCCCCCAGGUGACGGUGAUGUGGACAAGGUUGAGACCGGAACUCCCCCCUGAAUUCCUUCCCUAUGCUCACCACUAACUCCCUAUGGGAGCCGGGUGGGUUUACUGAAUCCCUUAGCGCUUUUGUUUUCAUAUCUGUGAAACUGCAUUAAUUAUGACUCCUAUUUCAUGGGAUUGUAAUGACGAUUAGAGGUGUUAAUGCAUUAAAAUGCCUAGAACAGUACUGUAAACACUCUGUCCUGAUACAAGGAGUAACCAAAGAUUUGGGGUAAAGUUCCAAACUCUCUGACUCAGUUUCCCCCUAUGUAGGGUAAGAGACACUAGUAGCCCCUCCUAUAUAGAUUUAGGAUUAAAUGAGAUUGUGCAUGUGGAGUGUUUAGCACAGCGCUGGGUGAAUGGUCAUGCCCAACCCACCAUGGUGCACUUGGCUGCUGGGGCAUCCCUGCCAGCUCCUGUGACCUCCCCACUGUAGGCCCAGGCAUUUCAGAGGUCUGUCGAGGAAGGAGGACUUUUCUGAGGUUUUGUCCUCUUAAUCAGAAAAGUCAUUUCCCUCUCAAAGACAAAAUUUCUUCUAUUAAAAGGUAGAUAUAGGCUGGAGUUGUAGCUCAGUGGUAGAACACUUGCCUAAUGAAUGUGAGGCACUGGGUUAGAUCCUCAGCACCACGUAAAAAUAAAUAAAUAAAGUAAAGGUAUUAUGUCCAUCUACAACUAAAAAAAAGAAGAUAUAAUGGCAACUGGGGUAGAAGGAAACUAUGGAAGAUAUUUAAUCAGCUACAAUGCCAACAUUGUACAUAUUCCUCCUAAAACACCGUGUCUGCAGCACCUUAUCACCACUUGGAGUUUUGGUAGCAGUUUGGGACCCCAGCUCUGCUGCUAGGACAAGCUUGUAAUGUAAUUUUUAUCUUACUCAGUUUAUGAUAUAUUGUCUUAUUAAGUGAAUAUUUGAAAUAGCAGUGGCCCUAGACCUUCUGGAACAUUUCUGAACUUUACCCUUCAGAGGAAUACUGAAAAAUGGCCUGUGGCAAUGUGGUAAAGAUGACAGGGUUUAGAAGCAAACAGAGCUAAGGCUGAAUUCUGGUUCCAGUGCUUCCUGGCUGGUCGCUCUGGUUAAGCCACACAAUUGAGCUUCCAACUCUUCAUCUGUAAAAUGACUAUUUCAUAGUAUUCUCGUGACACAGAGUCAUAUCAUACAAGCUUUUAACUUACAUUCAACUUUUAGGUAUUCUCUUCCUCGUACAGUUAGGCUAGCAUAAAGCUCUGUUUUAUAUAUGCAUUCCUCAUUCCUCAUAUGUCUCAAUGUGUAAGCAUUAUAUUGUUAAACUUACAUUUACUGUAAAGGGGCCCCCACCAAAUAAAGC